AAUUGGUUUUUAAAUCAAUAAAUGCAUUAUUUUGCCUGUCAGUGGCAGGAUAUGCUACACCACUCCAGAUAAUGCCACACACUUUGUUUUAUAUUAAGUUUCUGUACUGUUGAUCAUUCCCAUUUCUCUUUUUUUCCAUUUUUCCCCCCUCUUCUCUAGCCUUUCCUUGUAUGAAGAUGGGAAGCCACCAUCUUCCAUGCAGCCUGCCAGCAAGUCCCACUCUCAAAGGCUUGGGUUGACUGGUAUCAGCAGGCAUACCUGUUUACUCCCAGCUGUGCUUUGAAGUAGAUUGGGGCAGGCUUCCUACCCGGCAAAUGCUGUUCCUGGGCUGGAUCCACCACAAUGGAAACUUGACAGCCACCUCUGGGGAAAGAGGACUUUGUGACACAUGAAGGAGGCUCCUGGGCCUUGAAGCUAAUAGGUGACAAGGGAAUACUUCAUGUCUGUCAAACUCUUGGAAGUGCCCCUCAUGCCUGCUCUGUUGUUCUGCAUAAAGCAAGACCUGCAUUUGCAGGUCCUCCUGCUCUGGCUCCAGGUUGUCUGAUAACCAGGAUUGGGAGGCUUCUGGAAAGCCUCUUAGAAGCUUGAUUAUUCCACUAGAGACAUUUUGAGACCAAUCCCAUGAACAUAUUUUGAGCUUAUUAAAAGCCUGUCUUAAAACUGGCGCACACAAGCAGCAAUCAAUGAAAACUUGGCACUGCUACACUGAACCACAUUGUGCUGGCCAUAAUAUUGAUGUUUGCUGAAUAUUUACAGCAUUAAAGCAACCGUUCAUUUAAAAGAAACAAGUUGGAAAGAGCUUACACUGAAAGCAACUCCAUUUUAAGUGACCCGAAGAGAUGGGAAGAAAAUCCCUGCCUGUGGAGCAGUGAGGUUCAGUUCACUCACUCCUGGGUGAAAUAUUCCCCUGCUUAUGCCUUGGCAGAUGGGAAGGACCAGCCUGUGGAGUACCAGACUGAGCAUGGAGAGCUGAGGGAGAAGAAGCUGUGUUCAUUUCACUCACUAAUCAAGAAUAAUCACAGAAGUUCAAAAUUACUACAUUAGUCAGCACCAUGACAGCGUAACAAACAUGCAUUGUGAGGCAGUUAAAUAAAAUAUUUAAGAGAAUGCACCUGGCAGUGGCAUUUGGUCCCACAAGGAGGGGUAAGUUGGAAAUGCAUAGAUAAAUUGAUUGCUCCAGCCUUUGUUCCAGGAUUCAGGGGAAUAACAGCAAUAGCUGACAGUGGGGUAUUUUCACAGCAGGAGAUAUCCAUUUGGUUCUUACAGUUACUGACAAUUCUUAGGUGAUUUUUGUUGUUAUAUUUUUUCUAAUCCCAUUUGAGUACCUGUUUUUUUAUGAGAUUAAUGGCUCACAGUCUGUGAGACACUUAUUUAAGAUGCAGGAAGAAGGAUGUGUCUGCUAGACACAUCUGUGCUCUGCAGUCUAAAAUUGCCUCCUGUUGUGAGAGAGAUAGACAGAAAGAAGUGACUAGAGUACACUUGAGCUGCUAACAAACUGCUUUGUAACCUUGCCCCUGGAAUUUACUAGUUGCCAUUUUAAAAAGCAACUUUUG